AUUAAAUUCGAUACCGUUACAAUUAAAAACAAUGCGUAUCGUCAUUAUGAUACUAGUUAAUUAAUGCCAUGAUUUUGGUAGUACUUAUACCUAUGUAAGAAACUGAGAGAGGCGCACAAUUGAGUGGUGAGGGAAUACAUCCAUUAGCUGUAUUCCCUCUCCACACCCAGAUCCUGAUCUCCAACCUGUCGAGACGCUCAACUGAUUCCACUGUAGGGCAAACUGAGUACGAGUAGUCCCGGGUUGUAAAUUCAAGUGUGGUGUGGAAAGGUCCUGGAUUCUCCACAGGAUAUCUUUCCCCCACACAGCCCGAUCGCUAUACGUCAAAACAAUUCGUUUUGACGCACUUAUUGCGUUACAACAUGUGAUAAUGUGCUCGAGUGUACAUGCUCAUUAGUCACGUAAAUAGUAAUUAAAACAGCGAUAGUUUUUUAAUCUUGUGGCAGCACCCAAUGUGACCAUGAAGACUGUGAUAGGACUUUACAUGAUCCUGUUAGUUCUAGCUGUCGCCUCGGACCGUGGACCGUGUGGCUGCUCAAAGACCUUCGAAUUUUGCGCCAACGACUACGAAACUUACCAGAGCAUCUGCGAGUUCCAGUGCAAGCAUCCCUCCACCCAGUUCCAUGACUGGUUUAUACUGUACAACGGGCCUUGCGUCUCUGAGUCGGGGAAUGCAAUGAAUACGAAUUCUGGCUCAAAUUCUGUUUGUUGUGCCCCCCAUUUAGAGUUAUAACGCUGGUAACACAGCAGUCUUCCGCCAUUAUGCUUACUUGUCACAUCUGUCAUGGAUCCAUAAUAAAAAGCAUUACCAAUCUACUA